rnacentral:rRNA from 1 species
CACGAACGCUGGCGGCGUGCUUAACACAUGCAAGUCGAGCGGUAAGGCCCUUUCGGGGGUACACGAGCGGCGAACGGGUGAGUAACACGUGGGUGACCUGCCCUCAGCUCUGGGAUAAGCCUGGGAAACCGGGUCUAAUACUGGAUAUGACUCCAUGACGCAUGUUGUGGGGUGGAAAGCCUUGUGCGGCUGAGGAUGGGCCCGCGGCCUAUCAGCUUGUUGGUGGGGGAUGGCCUACCAAGGCGACGACGGGUAGCCGGCCUGAGAGGGCGACCGGGCCACACUGGGACUGAGACACGGCCCAGACUCCUACGGGAGGCAGCAGUGGGGAAUCUUGCGCAAUGGGCGAAAGCCUGACGCAGCGACGCCGCGUGAGGGAUGACGGCCUGGUGU